rnacentral:rRNA from 1 species
AACGAACGCUGGCGGCAGGCUUAACACAUGCAAGUCGAACGCCCCGCAAGGGGAGUGGCAGACAGGUGAGUAACGCGUGGGAAUCUACCCAGAUCUACGGAACAACAGAGGGAGACUUCUGCUAAUACCGUAUACGCCCUACGGGGGAAAGAUUUAUCGGAUUUGGAUGAGCCCGCGUAAGAUUAGCUAGUUGGUGAGGUAAUGGCUCACCAAGGCGACGAUCUUUAGCUGGUCUGAGAGGAUGAUCAGCCACACUGGGACUGAGACACGGCCCAGACUCCUACGGGAGGCAGCAGUGGGGAAUAUUGGACAAUGGGCGCAAGCCUGAUCCAGCCAUGCCGCGUGAGUGAUGAAGGCCUUAGGGUUGUAAAGCUCGUUCACCGAUGAAGAUAAUGACGGUAGUCGGAGAAGAAGCCCCGGCUAACUUCGUGCCAGCCGCCGCCGUAACAC